CGGUCUGAAAAGCAUUUGAAAUUAAAUCAACCUUCUGGACUGGACUGCACAGCAACAAAGCCCUUGUACCUGCAUUAUGUAUCGGGACAUUUUCCGGAAGACUCUCAUAUCCCUUGGAUGGCUGUUGACUAAUAUCUCGCCGACAUUGUUGACAGCCCUGCACAGGGUAUCAUAGUUUAAGUCAGUGAUCAGUGCUCCUGAGGGUCCCAUAAUCGCGGUCAGUUCAUGAGAGCGAAAUUCACCAUUCACUUCCCGCAAAAUCUGCUUCGUCUUUUGGGCUGCAAGACGCGAUGGGUCAUUAAAAGGUGAUAGUAGGUGAACUAAAUAGGUGACUGUGUGAUAUGGAAUGUAUGAAUUGUGGUUAAAUGGCACAUACACUCAUGUACAUAUUUCAUCAGAUGAGUAUAGAAUUGACGUCUAUAAUUGUUGUUUAAUAUAUGCAUUUUUAGCCACA